rnacentral:rRNA from 1 species
AGAUAGGGGAAACCGUUCUGAAGGGGGCACUUUUUGCUUAAAGUUGUGCCUUCUCCUAUCGAAAGGGAAUCGGGUUAAUAUUCCCGAACCCGGUCGCGGAGAUCGGUGUUUCGGCACCUAGUCGGUAACGAAACGAACCCGGAGACGCUGGGAGAAGCCUGGGAAGAGUUCUCUCUUCUUU